AUGUUUUGGCAGCACACUUACUAAAAGAUGGAAAAAUACAAAGAAGAUUAGCAUGGCCCCUAUGCAACAUGACUUGCAAAUUCCUGAGGCACUCCAUAUUAGA